rnacentral:rRNA from 1 species
UACGUAGGUGGCAAGCGUUGUCCGGAAUUACUGGGCGUAAAGCGUGCGCAGGCGGUUUGUAAGACUGUCGUGAAAUCCCCGGGCUCAACCUGGGAAUGGCGAUGGUGACUGCAAGGCUAGAGUUUGGCAGAGGGGGUAGAAUUCCACGUGUAGCAGUGAAAUGCGUAGAUAUGUGGAGGAACACCGAUGGCGAAGGCAGCCCCUGGUCAAAACUGACGCUCAUGCACGAAGCGUGGGAGCAAACAGG